GCAGUCAUAGCCGAGUCGUUAAGGCGUUAGACUAGGAAUCUAAUCCCCUCUGGGGUCACAGGCUCGAAUUUUGCUGACUGCG
rnacentral:tRNA from 1 species